rnacentral:rRNA from 1 species
GAUGAACGCUGGCGGCGUGCCUAAUACAUGCAAGUCGAGCGAACGGACGAGAAGCUUGCUUCUCUGAUGUUAGCGGCGGACGGGUGAGUAACACGUGGAUAACCUACUUAUAAGACUGGGAUAACUUCGGGAAACCGGAGCUAAUACCGGAUAAUAUUUUGAACCGCAUGGUUCAAAAGUGAAAGACGGUCUUGCUGUCACUUAUAGAUGGAUCCGCGCUGCAUUAGCUAGUUGGUAGGGUAACGGCUUACCAAGGCAACGAUGCAUAGCCGACCUGAGAGGGUGAUCGGCCACACUGGAACUGAGACACGGUCCAGACUCCUACGGGAGGCAGCAGUAGGGAAUCUUCCGCAAUGGGCGAAAGCCUGACGGAGCAACGCCGCGUGAGUGAUGAAGGUCUUCGGAUCGUAAAACUCUGUUAUUAGGGAAGAACAUAUGUGUAAGUAACUGUGCACAUCUUGACGGUACCUAAUCAGAAAGCCACGGCUAACUACGUG